rnacentral:lncRNA from 1 species
GUGGAUCUGGGUCAGUGCCCAUUGUUCAAGAAACUCGAUGGUGUUCCAAAUGAAAGCAACAGGGGGUGUUUUGGGGGUUAUCAUGGUUACCAUUUGAAGGAUUUGUUGGAUUGGGAGGCCAUUAAAAGGUAGAUCUUUGUAUCUGAAUGGAUGGAGUUCUGGAAUUAUUUCCUGUAACAAAGAAUCUUGAAAACAGAGUAUUAGUAUCUAACUAUCUAUAAUCCGUAAUUUUAUAAUAUUUAGUUUUAGAUCUAUAGUUUAUUUCUAUGGGUUUUGGAUUUGCAGUUACCUUGAAUAGGAAAUCGACCUUCCUGAUGAAGCUGAGGGAUGAUCUUGUAAGCAGGAAGGAAGGCUGCACAGCUGCUGCGCAAGAUGAUGGAGGGUAGACGCAGAUCGGCGGCGAGGGAUCCGGCAAAAAACAUGAGGUUAUCAUAGAUGAUAACGAUAGAUUCCUUUUCAGAUGUUGCCUUUUGUGUAUUUAUGAUCUGAAUCAGGUGUUUCUCGAGAUGGGGUCUGCAGUUAUCAUUGAGAGCUUGCAAGAACUGAAUGACGCCGGAAGAGACGCCUGUGCCGGAUAAGUUGUUCGGCAGAGGGAAGAAGACGAAGUUGGGGUGAUUAGAAGGAUCUGGACGAUUUAACUCAGAGUGAACAAUGGUUAUGGGGAACC